ACGAUGGAUACUCAUCAACGUCCUCUCUUCCUCAUCACCACCUUCCUCCUCCUCCUCCUUCACCACCCCACCUCCACCCAUUCCCUCAUUGACCCCACCACCUACUCCACCCCGUCCGCCGCUCCCACCACCACCUCGGCUCCCACUCCCCCUGCCACCACCACCACUUACCCCACCAAUAAAGACACCGAAUUCAUCCGUUCAAGCUGUGCAUCCACCCGGUACCCCGACGAAUGCUACAACUCCCUCUCGGGCUACGCCAGCGCUGUACAACAAAACCCUGCUCGGCUAGCGCGUGUAGCCAUAGCCGUGAGCCUCUCCGGAGCCAGACUGGAAGCCACUUACUUCUCGAA
rnacentral:lncRNA from 1 species